rnacentral:lncRNA from 1 species
AUCCUAAGGUCCCUUCCUUCCUUAUACUAGAAUGAAGUUAUUUUAGUUAAGCUUUACAGUUUUUAAGAUAACUUUUUCACACUAAACAUCUGUCAUGCUAAUUUAUCUUUAAAGGAGUGAUCUUUGGAACCCUGUCCACAAGAUGUUCCUAAAAUUGCUACCUUUUCUCAUAAACAUAGGAAAUAAAAGCAUAUUAAACAUUCUGACAGUCCUGCAAUAAUAGCACUUAAUAAACUGUUCAAUAAAGAAAUGUAAUUAGUCGUCUUUUAAAGACUAUUUCCAAAAUUAAUUGAUUUGGAGCCAUUUUUUUAGCAUCACAUCUAUAAACAUCUUAUAUAAUGAGUGAUCUGUCUAACAAGCCUUGGGAAAGUGUUCUCUUACAAUGCAUGAAGAAAAGCUCCCCAGCGAUUUUGACUUCCUAAUGAAGAACUUCAAAUCUUUACGCCCUUUGAAAACUUGUUUAUUUUAAUGCUGCUUCUAAUAAUCAGAUAAUUAUUUAAUUAUGCGUCUUUGAAUUAAAUCAAAUACUUUUCUUCUAGUUUUAAUCAGUAUUUCCCAUGUGGUGCUUCCUCUAUGCAUUUUUUAAAAAGAUUUUUGUUGUUUUUCUAAGGUUUUAUCUUGGUUAUUUAGUUAUGUCUUCCUCUACCGUCUCUUUUUCCAACAAACUGUUUGGAUGCAGAUUAACAUUCAAAUGAGUGCCAAGUGUGGUUUGGUUAGAAAUGAAUUAUUCAUUAAUAAAAACAAAAAAAAUUGCUUUUGACCAAUUAGUUCUGUGCAAAUUAGUCAAUGACUAUUAAAUGUCAAUGUUUCUUAAGAAAAUCUGGUAGGUUUUCAUCCCAUUGAAACAAGAAUAUUGUCUCUUUGUCUCCUUAUUCCUAAUUCUAACCAAUUGUUAGGCUUUAGUUAGUCAUCUUUAUUCAAAACUAGGUACAUGCUUUAAAAUGACCUUCAAAAUUGGAAAUAAGUUGACACAGUUCUCAAUCACACCUAUAAGGGGUUGAGGAAUUCCAGUUCCACUGUAAGACAUUAUGACUGAAAGAUAACAUAAAAUAAAACUAUGAGACUACACUUCAUUUAAUUGUAUUAGGCCAGAUCUUAAGUGAUAGGUGUAGAACUGUGAAUAUUCAUUUACUUAUUCAUUGCUUUUUAGGCCCACACCUGCAGCAUGUAGCAGUUCCUAGGCUAGGGGUCCAGUCAGAGCUGCAGCUGCCAGCCUGUGACAUAGCCAUAGCAACAUGGGAUCUGAGCUGAGACUAUGAACUAUACUGCAGUUCAGGGCAACGCCGGAUCCUUAUCCCACUGAGUAAAGCCAGGGAUUGAACCCGCAUCCCCAUGGAUACUAGUCAGGUUAGUAACCUGCUAAGCCACCAUGGGAACUCCCAGAGCUGUGAAUUUUUAAAGUAAAACACUAAGACUUCAUAAAAAUAUGGAAAACUAUACUUUAGAAAACUACCAGAAACUAUAUAGUUAAUAUAUUAGGAAAGGGGUUAGUCCACUUAAAGGGACGAAGUUUUCUAAUACUCAGUUUUAUUUUUGUUUUCAUUUUAGAAUAGGAAAAAAAUGACCUAGUGUAUAAUUCAACAAUAUCCUCAAAUUAGGAAGGAAACUUUGCCUAUGAGCUAUUUAUAGCUUUUCUCUUUGAGUAACUAAAUCAGGCCUUGAAUAUAAUGAGCUUAAUAAGUGAUGCUGCUGCUACAGCUCAUUGUGAGCGAAAGCAAUGUUUUUUGCUUUAGGAGAUAAAUUUUCAAAGGGUAUAGAAAACUAGAUUUAAGCACGGCUCAGACAUGGAAUGAUGGGUUCCAUGUAAAAACAGCAUUAUGAAAAGUUGAUUUGAACUCAUUGAACAACAAACUUUUGAUAUGAGCUAGAGCUGAAAGGGCAGUUUAAACAAGUUUCAUUUAGAGGGAGGAAUUUUGAGAACAUGUGUCAAAGGAUGCCAACCAGACCAUGAAUUUGUGGAACACCAUGUGUCUAGCAAACGCUCCUUUUUCACAAGGCAGAGAACUUAGACUGUCACAGGACAGUGCAAGACAGUCCCUUGCUGGAGACCCCCAUUACUCAGAGUUUAAAGAGUAGUUGCUGAUAGAAUCAACAUAGUACUAGCGCUAGACUGAAGUAGGAUAUAAAUAUGCAUUAAAAUAGUAUAUAACUGUUGAUAUGGUGCUGACUUUGGGAAUUUUUUAAUACAUAUUUUCCUUGUAACAAACCAGAUCUGAUAUGAAAUAUAGAGAUUUACGGUUUUGUCAAAGAGUCUAUUAAAUGUAUUCAAGACUGUUCUUUUCAAUGCCUAAUGGAUGUAUUGGGCAAAAAUAAUGAGAGGGGUUAAUUCCUUAUCUUGUAGACCUUAAUUUGCAAUAGAUGGCCCUAAGCUCAUAAACUAUGUCUUUAAUUCUGAUACCAGAAUAGAAAUAUUUUAAACUUUGGAACUGUUUAUUUAAUGAUAGAAUGCAAUCCAGGGAUCAAAUCUGCAUCCUCAUGGAUACUAGUCAGAUUCAUUUCCAAAUAGCCACAGUGGGAACUACCUCCUCUUCCAUCUAAUAAAUGAUUAGAAACCCAGGCUCAGAUGAAAAAGUAUUCCCAUAGAAUCUUAUUCAAAUCCCUGCAAACAGCUUUGCUGAAAUCCCAAGUACAAAGUCACUAAUCUUUCUAGGCAGCUUAUGCUGUGCUUUUGUUAAAAACAUCACCGCAAACAACAACAAAAACCUUUGUAAGCUUAUCAUUAAAAUGCACAUUCAAUAAAGAGGGACUCAGUAGACUCUUAGGAGAAGGGAUAUUGGUCUUAAAGGCUGUCCUCUUUCUGCUACAGUCUAGCUCACUAGCAUGGACUUGUAGUAUUUGACAGCUCUCACAUUUCCUGUGGUUCCUGUUGUAUCACUUUAACCUAAUUGCAUUGAACCAGCAUCUUGGCCCAUGGUCUGUAAUGUGAGGAUGUUAAAUGUGUGUCAUAUGGAAAAUAUCCGAUGCUAUGUUGUGCAUUGUAAUAAGCUACUAAAGAUUAGAGCCAUGAGAACCAGAGAAACCAAAAUCUAUAAUUAUUGGCAUUUGUGGGAAUUGUUCCAAGAACAUUUAGCCAUUUUAAUCCAAUUUUCUUUCUUUAUGGUCCUUAACAAGAAAGAAAUAUACACAGAGGGCUUUAAUCCACAGCCCCCUUUUAUUCUCUCUUACUGGAGAAUAUAAACCAGAUCUAUGGCUUACCUCAAAUAUAAAUCUUAUUCAACAUACAGGAUCAGAGACAUAUGUGUUCAUAAUGAAUUUUUGUCAAGUUCUGUCUUUAAAGAAGCUUUAAGGUUGGCUUUGGACACAAAACAGUCGUAUGUUGACUCUCGCUUAGAAGCUUUGUUUUAAAAGAUUUUAUCAGAAUUAUGUUUCCUAGAGGGUUAGUUUGUAAACAAUACUUGUAAUGACAGACUCUGUCAUACUCAAAUUAUCAUUUGAAACAUUAUUUUAUUCUUAUUUUAUUACAAUCUUAAUAUGAAAUGUGACCAUGAAUAAAUACAGUUGAUUUAUUUUAUUGGUAUCUGCAAUAUUGUCAAAGUAGAUACAUUGAGGAUACAUUCAUUCAGGCAAUCCUGCUUUAGAUAUUGAUUUAGCAUCUCUUUCUUGAAAUUGUCAUUAAAGCUAGUUUAUUGACUACAAGAAAGGUGGCAUUAUUGCCUUAGUGAGUAUUGGAGCUUUACCCAAAAAAAGAAGGAAAGAAUGUAUAUAUAUCAGUUAUAUUCAUCCAUCUGUUUAUUUAUUCAUUAUUUUUUUAAAAUAUUUUUACAGAUAGAUAUGGUUCCAAACACCAUUUGGCUUAUUUUUUUUAAAGGCUCUGUUUUAAAAAUUGGAGAUAUUCCACAUUGAGGUUAUUCAAAGGAAUCUUGUUGCAGAUUUUGAAGAAAACUGAAGUUCAAAUGAGUCUAGAUAAAGGUUGCUUAUGUCAGAGAACAAAUACAACUUAAUGUGCUAAAGUAAGAGACAAAAUUAACAAAUGAAUAAAUUAUCCCUUUAAACUUCAUACAACAAACAAAUUUGUUGUUUAUCUAGCUAGUUGCACCUUGUCCACAGGCCACUAAUGACCAUUAAAAUGAAAACAGUUGAGCCAUCAUGUGGAAUCUGUUUUUAUUUCUGACUUCCAUGACUGAGCUCAGAUGUUGCUAUGCUGAAAUUUGCCUAUAAGGAAUCUUGGAAUUGCUUAAUGGAAUAUCCAAAGGUAAGCUCCACAUUAAGUAUCCCACAUGAAUUGACCAUAGCAAAUCCUUGUGAGGAACUAACAUCCUCCAGUUUUAAGUCAUGUCUAUUCUCAUGAAAAUGUACCAACAUCAUGUUGUUUAUUUCAAGGAUGUUAUACAUGGAAACCAUUGCCACAUUCGGCAUUGUAUCUGCUCAUUUUCUAUAUACCUUUUUGCCUAAAAGUGGAUUUAAAGCUAUUCAACACUGUUGAUGUGAAGGUAAUAGCUGCCGUAAGUUUUAUAGCUACAUAACAGACUGAUGAGCAUGUGUAUUUUUUGGUUUUCAUUUCUAGAUCUCUAUAUUCUUUCAUAAAGACACUGUCCACCAUUUCUUCAUGAAAGGUAGCUUUACUAAAACCCCCACAAUCAACCUAACAAUAGUUGUAGAUUGUAUAAAUAUGAAUAUUAUAUAUUUUAUCGCAGAGCAUCAGCUGAAUUUGGUGCAUUUAAGUAAGUGAUUAAACUAGUUACAUCAAUUUUAUUUUAAAAAAGGAAAUGUGAUGAAAAAGUAAGAGCUUCGAUAUUUUUCUGUAACCAAUGAACUGACUCUAAAGCUAGUUUUCAAAAAGAAUCUCUACAAUCAGCAGUCAGAAGAAUGAAAAGCAAAGCCUGCUUCUGAUGUAAAGCACUUUACUGGCUGUGUAAUUUUUAUUUGGCCACAAUUAACAGUCUUUGAAGGUAACUCAGAGAAUAGCAAAACCAUUUUUAAUCCCCAAAUGAUUUUAAAAUAGAAACUUCUUAGAUACUAACUUUAAAAAAUUUUUGAUAGGAGUUCCAUCAUGGCUCAGCAGAAAAGAAUCUAUCAUCCAUGAGGACUCAGGUUCGAUUCCUGGCCACACUCAGUGGGUUAAGGAUUUGGUGUUCCCUUGAGCUGUGGUGUAGGUCGCAGAUGCAGCUCAGAUCCCACAUUGACAUGGCUGUGAUGUAGGCUGGCAGCUGUAGCUCCAAUUCAGCCCCUAGCCUGGGACCCUCCAUAUGCCAUGGGUGCAGCCCUAAAAAGACAAAAAAAAAAUUUUUUUUUGAUAACUCCUAUACAUAUUUAUUUCUAAUAUUUAAGCUGUAAUUUAUGUAAGCAUAAAAUUUAUCAAGUGGAAUCAUUGUAAUCUUAGCCUGUUUGUUUUACUGCCAUUACAUAAUCUGCCCACAUUGGUUGGUAGUUCACCAUUCCCUAAAGAAAUGAGUGAAUGAAUGAUGUUUGUAACUGUCUAUGACAGACAGGAGUAUCUCUAUAACAAUUUUAUAUGGAAACAUUAAUUGACAACACAUCUCUACUAAAGAACUCUUUUCUGCUUUUCACAGAAGAACAGAUACAAGCUUAAGCCUAAAAGUGAAAUAAGAACAUCUAUCCCUACCAUCAGUUUAUCAUUAGAAAUUACAAGGCAGGUUAUAUAAUGCUAGCACAGUUAAUAGGCCAGAAUUACUACAUUCCUACCUGAUAAGUUUUAUUCAUACACCAUCUUUAACUUAAAUCUUAGUGGUCAAGACAGCAAUAACUUCAUCAAAUUCUGUUACUUCUGUCAAUGUUGUUUGGAUACAUUCUCCAAAUAACUGCAAUCUCCCUUUCUUAGUAGAAAGGCACAGUGUUUUUCUGAAUUUUUAUCUUGGACCCAUUUACCAAAGGAAAACUUACCAUAAAUGAGCUUAAAGAUCUUAGUAACUUAAACCUUCUAGUCAUUAAAUUAAGAGAGCCUCUCUGUGAUUAUUAAUAGUCACAGGGCAUUAAGAUAUGUAUGAAGAGCUGUCAUCAUUUCAGGAAGUUAUCACAAGAAUGUUCCCUUUGAGGCUUUGAUUUGUGAGCAAUGCUAUUUCACGGGUAGAGGUAUCGAGCCUUUACAUUUAUUGUUAGAUAAAUGUAAAUUGAAAGAAUGUGCUUGAGGACAAAGGUCACAUAAUAAGGGCUUUAUGCACCUGAAAGCUCAAAACCAUUGCUUAGAACAUUUUAGUGACUGUUAU